UACGGAGGGUGCAAGCGUUAUCCGGAUUCACUGGGUUUAAAGGGUGCGUAGGUGGGCAGGUAAGUCAGUGGUGAAAUCUCCGGGCUUAACCCGGAAACUGCCAUUGAUACUAUCAGUCUUGAAUACCGUGGAGGUAAGCGGAAUAUGUCAUGUAGCGGUGAAAUGCUUAGAUAUGACGUAGAACACCAAUUGCGAAGGCAGCUUACUACCCGAAUAUUGACACUGAGGCACGAAAGCGUGGGGAUCAAACAGG
rnacentral:rRNA from 1 species